GUCUCUGUGGCGCAAUUGGUUAGCGCGUUCGGCUGUUAACCGGAAGGUUGGUGGUUCAAGCCCACCCAGGAACG
rnacentral:tRNA from 1 species